AUGGCGACCGGCGUACGGGUGAGUAACGCGUACACAAUCUACCCUUAAGCGGGGCAUAGGCUUGGGAAACUGAGAUUAAUACCCCAUGUGAUUGGUUUUGUGCAUAUAUGACCAAUUAAAGUUCCGGCGCUUAAGGAUGAGUGUGCGUCCCAUUAGCUUGUUGGUGUGGUAACGGCGCACCAAGGCUACGAUGGGUAGGGGGCGUGAGAGCGUGACCCCCCACACGGGUACUGAGACACGGACCCG
rnacentral:rRNA from 1 species